AUGAACGCUAGCUACAGGCUUAACACAUGCAAGUCGAGGGGCAUCAGGAAGAAAGCUUGCUUUCUUUGCUGGCGACCGGCGCACGGGUGAGUAACACGUAUCCAACCUGCCCUUUACUCGGGGAUAGCCUUUCGAAAGAAAGAUUAAUACCCGAUAGCAUAAUGAUUCCGCAUGGUUUCAUUAUUAAAGGAUUCCGGUAAAGGAUGGGGAUGCGUUCCAUUAGGUUGUUGGUGAGGUAACGGCUCACCAAGCCUUCGAUGGAUAGGGGUUCUGAGAGGAAGGUCCCCCACAUUGGAACUGAGACACGGUCCAAACUCCUACGGGAGGCAGCAGUGAGGAAUAUUGGUCAAUGGGCGGUAGCCUGAACCAGCCAAGUAGCGUGAAGGAUGAAGGCUCUAUGGGUCGUAAACUUCUUUUAUAUAAGAAUAAAGUGCAGUAUGUAUACUGUUUUGUAUGUAUUAUAUGAAUAAGGAUCGGCUAACUCCGUGCCAGCAGCCGCGGUAAUACGGAGGAUCCGAGCGUUAUCCGGAUUUAUUGGGUUUAAAGGGAGCGUAGGUGGACUGGUAAGUCAGUUGUGAAAGUUUGCGGCUCAACCGUAAAAUUGCAGUUGAUACUGUCAGUCUUGAGUACAGUAGAGGUGGGCGGAAUUCGUGGUGUAGCGGUGAAAUGCUUAGAUAUCACGAAGAACUCCGAUUGCGAAGGCAGCUCACUGGACUGCAACUGACACUGAUGCUCGAAAGUGUGGGUAUCAAACAGGAUUAGAUACCCUGGUAGUCCACACAGUAAACGAUGAAUACUCGCUGUUUGCGAUAUACAGUAAGCGGCCAAGCGAAAGCAUUAAGUAUUCCACCUGGGGAGUACGCCGGCAACGGUGAAACUCAAAGGAAUUGACGGGGGCCCGCACAAGCGGAGGAACAUGUGGUUUAAUUCGAUGAUACGCGAGGAACCUUACCCGGGCUUAAAUUGCAGUGGAAUGAUGUGGAAACAUGUCAGUGAGCAAUCACCGCUGUGAAGGUGCUGCAUGGUUGUCGUCAGCUCGUGCCGUGAGGUGUCGGCUUAAGUGCCAUAACGAGCGCAACCCUUAUCUUCAGUUACUAACAGGUCAUGCUGAGGACUCUGGAGAGACUGCCGUCGUAAGAUGUGAGGAAGGUGGGGAUGACGUCAAAUCAGCACGGCCCUUACGUCCGGGGCUACACACGUGUUACAAUGGGGGGUACAGAAGGCAGCUAGCGGGUGACCGUAUGCUAAUCCCAAAAUCCUCUCUCAGUUCGGAUCGAAGUCUGCAACCCGACUUCGUGAAGCUGGAUUCGCUAGUAAUCGCGCAUCAGCCACGGCGCGGUGAAUACGUUCCCGGGCCUUGUACACACCGCCCGUCAAGCCAUGGGAGCCGGGGGUACCUGAAGUACGUAACCGCAAGGAUCGUCCUAGGGUAAAACUGGUGACUGGGGCU
rnacentral:rRNA from 1 species